GUGAACGCUGGCGGUAGGCCUAACACCUGCAAGUCGCACGGCAGCACAGUAAGAGCUUGCUCUUACGGGUGGCGAGUGGCGGACGGGUGAGGAAUACAUCGGAAUCUACUUUUUCGUGGGGGAUAACGUAGGGAAACUUACGCUAAUACCGCAUACGACCUACGGGUGAAAGCAGGGGAUCUUCGGACCUUGCGCGAUUGAAUGAGCCGAUGUCGGAUUAGCUAGUUGGCGGGGUAAAGGCCCACCAAGGCGACGAUCCGUAGCUGGUCUGAGAGGAUGAUCAGCCACACUGGAACUGAGACACGGUCCAGACUCCUACGGGAGGCAGCAGUGGGGAAUAUUGGACAAUGGGCGCAAGCCUGAUCCAGCCAUACCGCGUGGGUGAAGAAGGCCUUCGGGUUGUAAAGCCCUUUUGUUGGGAAAGAAAAGCAGCAGGUUAAUACCCCGCUGUUCUGACGGUACCCAAAGAAUAAGCACCGGCUAACUUCGU
rnacentral:rRNA from 1 species